GUAAAAAUAUCGCCGGAUAUUUUAUUUAAUUACAAGCAUUAGAGAUUUAUACCAUUAGGCCUUGGGGUAUAAACUAUCUAGUGCUUUUAUUU
rnacentral:ncRNA from 1 species